rnacentral:rRNA from 1 species
CACAUGCAGUCGAGCGGAGAGAGGUAGCUUGCUACUGAUCUUAGCGGCGGACGGGUGAGUAAUACUUAGGAAUCUGCCUAUUAGUGGGGGACAACAUCUCGAAAGGGAUGCUAAUACCGCAUACGUCCUACGGGAGAAAGCAGGGGAUCUUUAUGACCUUGCGCUAAUAGAUGAGCCUAAGUCGGAUUAGCUAGUUGGUGGGGUAAAGGCCUACCAAGGCGACGAUCUGUAGCGGGUCUGAGAGGAUGAUCCGCCACACUGGGACUGAGACACGGCCCAGACUCCUACGGGAGGCAGCAGUGGGGAAUAUUGGACAAUGGGGGGAACCCUGAUCCAGCCAUGCCGCGUGUGUGAAGAAGGCCUUAUGGUUGUAAAGCACUUUAAGCGAGGAGGAGGCUUACCUGGUUAAUACCCAGGAUAAGUGGACGUUACUCGCAGAAUAAGCACCGGCUAACUCUGUGCCAGCAGCCGCGGUAAUACAGAGGGUGCAAGCGUUAAUCGGAUUUACUGGGCGUAAAGCGCGCGUAGGCGGCCAAUUAAGUCAAAUGUGAAAUCCCCGAGCUUAACUUGGGAAUUGCAUUCGAUACUGUUUGGCUAGAGUGUGGGAGAGGAUGGUAGAAUUCCAGGUGUAGCGGUGAAAUGCGUAGAGAUCUGGAGGAAUACCGAUGGCGAAGGCAGCCAUCUGGCCUAACACUGACGCUGAGGUGCGAAAGCAUGGGGAGCAAACAGGAUUAGAUACCCUGGUAGUCCAUGCCGUAAACGAUGUCUACUAGCCGUUGGGGCCUUUGAGGCUUUAGUGGCGCAGCUAACGCGAUAAGUAGACCGCCUGGGGGAGUACGGUCGCAAGACUAAAACUCAAAUGAAUUGACGGGGGCCCGCACAAGCGGUGGAGCAUGUGGUUUAAUUCGAUGCAACGCGA